rnacentral:rRNA from 1 species
CGUGAAUACAUAGCGUAAUGAAGCGAACCGGGGGAACUGAAACAUCUAAGUACCCCGAGGAAAAGAAAUCAACCGAGAUUCCCCCAGUAGCGGCGAGCGAACGGGGAGCAGCCCAGAGUCUGAAUCAGCUUGUGUGUUAGUGGAACGGUCUGGAAAGUCCGACGGUACAGGGUGAUAGUCCCGUACACCAAAAUGCACAGGUUGUGAACUCGAAGAGUAGGGCGGGACACGUGGUAUCCUGUCUGAAUAUGGGGGGACCAUCCUCCAAGGCUAAAUACUCCUGACUGACCGAUAGUGAACCAGUACCGUGAGGGAAAGGCGAAAAGAACCCCGGCGAGGGGAGUGAAAAAGAACCUGAAACCGUGUACGUACAAGCAGUGGGAGCCU